rnacentral:rRNA from 1 species
GUGAGGAAUAUUGGUCAAUGGGCGCAAGCCUGAACCAGCCAUCCCGCGUGCAGGAAGACGGCCCUAUGGGUUGUAAACUGCUUUUCCGGGGGGAGAAUUUUUCCGUCGUGACGGGAAUUGACGGUACCCCGGGAAUAAGCAUCGGCUAACUCCGUGCCAGCAGCCGCGGUAAUACGGAGGAUGCGAGCGUUAUCCGGAUUUAUUGGGUUUAAAGGGUGCGUUGGCGGAAUGAUAAGUCAGUGGUGAAAACCUGCAGCUUAACUGUAGACUUGCCGUUGAUACUGUCAGUCUUGAGUGUGGUCAAGGUAGGCGGAAUGUGUAAUGUAGCGGUGAAAUGCUUAGAUAUUACACAGAACACCGAUUGCGAAGGCAGCUUACUGGGCCAUUACUGACGCUGAUGCACGAAAGCGUGGGGAUCGAACAGGAUUAGAUACCCUGGUAGUCC